rnacentral:rRNA from 1 species
UUCCUACGGGAGGCAGCAGUGAGGAAUAUUGGUCAAUGGGAGAGAUCCUGAACCAGCCAAGCCGCGUGAGGGAAGACGGCCCUAUGGGUUGUAAACCUCUUUUGUCGGAGAACAAAACCCGGGACGAGUCCCGGACUGCGUGUAUCCGAAGAAAAAGCAUCGGCUAACUCCGUGCCAGCAGCCGCGGUAAUACGGAGGAUGCGAGCGUUAUCCGGAUUUAUUGGGUUUAAAGGGUGCGUAGGCGGUUCGUUAAGUCAGCGGUAAAAUUGCGGGGCUCAACCCCGUCGCGCCGUUGAAACUGGCAG